rnacentral:lncRNA from 1 species
CUUUAGAGGAAGAUGCAAGUAGAUCCCAGAUGACUAACACAGAAUCUGCCUUUUGUUUGAAUUACAAUAUGGGAGGAAAGUACCUUGACAUUCAUCUUCAAGGGAAUGGUGACACUACCCGACACCCCCGUUGUGACGUACGGUGCUGCAUACUCCCCAGUGACCAGCCCCUCUUAAAUUCCAGACCGCUAAAAGGGUGA